rnacentral:miRNA from 1 species
CACACAGCUAGUAAUUGGCAGAGCCAGGAUUCAAUCCC